UGAGGAAUAUUGGUCAAUGGGCGAGAGCCUGAACCAGCCAUGCCGCGUGCAGGAAGACGGUCCUAUGGAUUGUAAACUGCUUUUAUUUGGGAAUAAACUCCGAUACGUGUAUCGGCCUGAAGGUACCAAAUGAAUAAGCACCGGCUAACUCCGUGCCAGCAGCCGCGGUAAUACGGAGGGUGCAAGCGUUAUCCGGAAUCAUUGGGUUUAAAGGGUCCGCAGGCGGAUUUAUAAGUCAGUGGUGAAAGCCCGUUGCUUAACAACGGAACUGCCAUUGAUACUGUAAGUCUUGAAUUCGAUCGAAGUGGGCGGAAUAUGACAUGUAGCGGUGAAAUGCUUAGAUAUGUCAUAGAACACCGAUAGCGAAGGCAGCUCACUAGGUCUG
rnacentral:rRNA from 1 species